rnacentral:rRNA from 1 species
UAAAUUGAGAGUUUGAUCCUGGCUCAGGACGAACGCUGGCGGCGUGCCUAAUACAUGCAAGUCGAGCGAGUCUG